rnacentral:rRNA from 1 species
CAGCCGCCACGGGAAUACGGAGGGUGCAAGCGUUAUCCGGAUUUAUUGGGUUUAAAGGGUCCGUAGGCGGAUCUGUAAGUCAGUGGUGAAAUCUCACAGCUUAACUGUGAAACUGCCAUUGAUACUGCAGGUCUUGAGUAAAUUUGAAGUGGCUGGAAUAAGUAGUGUAGCGGUGAAAUGCAUAGAUAUUACUUAGAACACCAAUUGCGAAGGCAGGUCACUAAGAUUUAACUGACGCUGAUGGACGAAAGCGUGGGGAGCGAACAGGAUUAGAGACCCCGGUAGUCCCUGUCUCUUUACA